rnacentral:rRNA from 1 species
AUGAACGCUAGCUACAGGCUUAACACAUGCAAGUCGAGGGGCAGCAUGGUCUUAGCUUGCUAAGGCCGAUGGCGACCGGCGCACGGGUGAGUAACACGUAUCCAACCUGCCGUCUACUCUUGGACAGCCUUCUGAAAGGAAGAUUAAUACAAGAUGGCAUCAUGAGUCCGCAUGUUCACAUGAUUAAAGGUAUUCCGGUAGACGAUGGGGAUGCGUUCCAUUAGAUAGUAGGCGGGGUAACGGCCCACCUAGUCUUCGAUGGAUAGGGGUUCUGAGAGGAAGGUCCCCCACAUUGGAACUGAGACACGGUCCAAACUCCUACGGGAGGCAGCAGUGAGGAAUAUUGGUCAAUGGGCGAGAGCCUGAACCAGCCAAGUAGCGUGAAGGAUGACUGCCCUAUGGGUUGUAAACUUCUUUUAUAAAGGAAUAAAGUCGGGUAUGGAUACCCGUUUGCAUGUACUUUAUGAAUAAGGAUCGGCUAACUCCGUGCCAGCAGCCGCGGUAAUACGGAGGAUCCGAGCGUUAUCCGGAUUUAUUGGGUUUAAAGGGAGCGUAGAUGGAUAUUUAAGUCAGUUGUGAAAGUUUGCGGCUCAACCGUAAAAUUGCAGUUGAUACUGGAUAUCUUGAGUGCAGUUGAGGCAGGCGGAAUUCGUGGUGUAGCGGUGAAAUGCUUAGAUAUCACGAAGAACUCCGAUUGCGAAGGCAGCCUGCUAAGCUGCAACUGACAUUGAGGCUCGAAAGUGUGGGUAUCAAACAGGAUUAGAUACCCUGGUAGUCCACACGGUAAACGAUGAAUACUCGCUGUUUGCGAUAUACUGCAAGCGGCCAAGCGAAAGCGUUAAGUAUUCCACCUGGGGAGUACGCCGGCAACGGUGAAACUCAAAGGAAUUGACGGGGGCCCGCACAAGCGGAGGAACAUGUGGUUUAAUUCGAUGAUACGCGAGGAACCUUACCCGGGCUUAAAUUGCAGAUGAAUUACGGUGAAAGCCGUAAGCCGCAAGGCAUCUGUGAAGGUGCUGCAUGGUUGUCGUCAGCUCGUGCCGUGAGGUGUCGGCUUAAGUGCCAUAACGAGCGCAACCCUUGUUGUCAGUUACUAACAGGUUCCGCUGAGGACUCUGACAAGACUGCCAUCGUAAGAUGUGAGGAAGGUGGGGAUGACGUCAAAUCAGCACGGCCCUUACGUCCGGGGCUACACACGUGUUACAAUGGGGGGUACAGAGGGCCGCUACCACGCGAGUGGAUGCCAAUCCCCAAAACCUCUCUCAGUUCGGACUGGAGUCUGCAACCCGACUCCACGAAGCUGGAUUCGCUAGUAAUCGCGCAUCAGCCAUGGCGCGGUGAAUACGUUCCCGGGCCUUGUACACACCGCCCGUCAAGCCAUGGGAGCCGGGGGUACCUGAAGUGCGUAACCGCGAGGAGCGCCCUAGGGUAAAACUGGUGACUGGGGCU